rnacentral:SRP_RNA from 1 species
CGUCGGCCCCUUUGCAACGCAAAGUUGCGAACCCCGUCAGAUCCGGAAGGAAGCAGCGGUAGUGAUGGAUACGGGUGUGAAGAUCGGCUGGCGCUU